rnacentral:rRNA from 1 species
UACGUAGGGGGCGAGCGUUGUCCGGAUUUAUUGGGCGUAAAGAGCGUGUAGGCGGCCAGGUAGGUCUGCUGUGAAAACUCGAGGCUCAACCUCGAGACGUCGGCGGAAACCAUCUGGCUAGAGUCCGGAAGAGGAGAGUGGAAUUCCUGGUGUAGCGGUGAAAUGCGCAGAUAUCAGGAAGAACACCCGUGGCGAAGGCGUCUCUCUGGAACGCAACUGACGCUGAGACGCGAAAGCGUGGGGAGCAAACACGG